rnacentral:sRNA from 1 species
UUUCGAGAAAACUGUAGCUGAAGCGUCAGAAGGACGGGAUUGCAUGGAAAGUCUGA